AUGAACGCUAGCGGCAGGCUUAACACAUGCAAGUCGAGGGGCAGCAUGAGACGGAGAUUCGUCAAAGUCUUGAUGGCGACCGGCGCAAGGGUGCGUAACGCGUGAGCAACUUGCCCGUUUCAGGGGGAUAACCGGUGGAAACGCCGACUAAUACCCCAUAGCAUUGAUUUCAGGCAUCUGUUAUCAAUUAAAGAAUUUCGGAAACGGAUAGGCUCGCGUGACAUUAGCUAGAUGGCGGGGUAACGGCCCACCAUGGCGACGAUGUCUUGGGGUUCUGAGAGGAAGGUCCCCCACACUGGAACUGAGACACGGUCCAGACUCCUACGGGAGGCAGCAGUGAGGAAUAUUGGUCAAUGGUCUGACGACUGAACCAGCCAUGCCGCGUGAAGGUGACGGCCCUAUGGGUCUUAAACUUCUUUUGCAAGGGAGCAAUAAGGCGUACGUGUACGUCGAUGAGAGUACCUUGCGAAUAAGCAUCGGCUAACUCCGUG
rnacentral:rRNA from 1 species